rnacentral:misc_RNA from 1 species
AACGCACGAGACCUGCGGACCUGCGGAAGGAUCAUUAAUGAGAAACUGCCCCUCGCGGGUAGAUCUCCCACCCUUUGUAAACUUACCUUUGUUGCUUUGGCAGGCCCGUCUCCGGACCGCCGGCUUCGGCUGGCCAGUGCCUGCCAGAGGAUUCUAAAACUCUGUCUGUCAGUGUUGUCUGAGUCUAUUUACAAUCGUUAAAACUUUCAGCAACGGAUCUCUAGAUCGGAAGAGCACACG